GUGUUUUUCUCGCUGUGUUGGUGGAUCAUGACGAGAGGUCAUAAUUGGAAUAUUCUGAAGAAUUUAGCGAUAUUCGUACUGAUAUACACGUUCAAAUGUGGUUCUCUGAGACAUUCCAUUGCAGCUAAACCACCGAAAUAUUUAGAAUCUCGCCCCAGAUGGUCAGCGUCACAUCCGGCGAGCUUACGAGGACACCCUGAAUCAAGCACAAGCGAUCCGAAGGAAGGCGUCUGUAUAUCUUCUGAGACUCACCACACGCACCGAGAUAAAGGAAUAUUGCGAAUACCUUCAGUGCAACGUCCCGAACAACACUUUCGGCAUUCUAAACCUCGUCAUUCACAUGGGGAGAAGGGCCGUAAAUAUCAGCAGUACUCUGCAUCGCGUCUGAUCUGAACAGACACCAUCCAAAUUGUGGAUCACAGCAAGUGCCUUUAGAGGAAGGGCCGGGGCCUACGUUUCACGGAUCGUCUGAACCACGUCCGCGUAUGUGCUCUAAUCUUUAUUUUGCGGUUUGAUUAUUGCUGCUAUCUCUUUGUAUAUACUGUUCAGGCUGAAAUACAACGAAGCCGCGAGUUCUCUUGCAGACAAGCCACCUAGAUAUUCUGAUGCGCGUCACCCACGUGUGAAAAAGGAAUUCGUGUAUGAAUAGCCACCAUGUGCACCCA
rnacentral:lncRNA from 1 species